UGUAGAAUCUAUAAACAAAAGAACUCUUGCAAAAUCAAAGUAAGACUUUGCUCCUGCGACAUUAUCCACUGCAUUAAAAAGAACCACAUUUGUUUCCUAACCACUUGAAGAACUCAACAUCCUAUACUUGGAGAGGCACACCAUACAAACGGAUCCAAACAAGCCGUGUAACUAAAGAUAAGUUUGCUUCCUAAGGUUUAAUUUCACUAAACUAGGCAUUUAAACAAUCCAGUACUCUUUGAUAAAACCCUAAAUUUGAUCUUUAGUAUCAAAAGUGACUAAGAAUCGGUUCUUGCCUGUAGGACAUACCUUAAUGAAUGAAUAGCCUGCACUUAAGAUUCUUGCUUGUAAUGUGGGGAUCACUUAGACAUCAUGAAGAACUGCAAUAGUAGACCUAUUAAGGCAAUCUUUACUUUCCUUGACCAUGCUCUCUGAGACCUUAAAACGACCAACAUACAAUCGGUGUUCCAAGCAAGGGAGAGGCUGACCUGGGCAAAUAUCCAUAGCCCUACCAUGAAAGGGUCCAGAGGAAUUGUUUGGCUCCUUGGAAGCUUCCUUCCUAACUUUGUUGUUAGGAAGACGAGAGUUUCUAAACACAUCGGUCUG
rnacentral:misc_RNA from 1 species